UACCAGCACCCCGAGUGGUCGGGACGUUUAUUGGGCCUAAAGCAUCCGUAGCCGGUUCUACAAGUCUUCCGUUAAAUCCACCUGCUUAACAGAUGGGCUGCGGAGAUACUAUAGAGCUAGGAGGCGGGAGAGGCAAGCGGUACUCGAUGGGUAGGGGUAAAAUCCGUUGAUCCAUUGAAGACCCACCAGUGGCGAAGGCGGCUUGCCAGAACGCGCUCGACGGUGAGG
rnacentral:rRNA from 1 species